rnacentral:tRNA from 1 species
GGCACAGUGGCAGAGUGGUCUAAUGCGCUAGACUCGAAAUCUAGUCUCUUCGGAGGCGCCUGUUCAAAUCAGGCCUGUGUCG